rnacentral:ncRNA from 1 species
GAAAAGUUUUAUUUUAGCUUGAAAUAUUGGUUAAUAAUUUUUUAUAUAUGUAAGUUUUAGCGUGAACAAUUUUAUAUUUAAAAAAUAUAAUUUUUUUUUAUUCUCAGUUUAUAAAUUUUUAUAUUUAAGUAAUUAAGAUUAAGAAAUUUAUUUUAGUAUUAACAAAAUUUGUGCCAGCAGUUGCGGUUAUACAAAUAAUAUAAUUAAUAUUUAUUAAUUAAUAAUUAAAUGUUUUAUUUUUAAUAAAAAUUUAAAUUUAUUAAGUGAAAUUUUAAAUUUGGUUAAAGUUAUAAAUAAUAAUUUGAAGUUAUUAAAUUUUUUAUUAAACUAGGAUUAGAUACCCUAUUAUUUUAAAUGUAAAUUAAUUAUUAAAUUAGUAGUAGUUAUUUUCUUUAAAAUUAAAAAAUUUGGCGGUAUUUUAGUCUCUUCAGAGGAACCUGUUCUAUAAUCGAUAAUCCACGAUUUAUAUUACUUAUUUUAAUUAGUUUAUAUAUCAUCGUAGGUUGAAUAUUUUUUAAGAAUUAAAAUGUUCAAGAUUUAAAAUUAUAAAUAAAUUCAGAUCAAGGUAUAGCUUAUAAAUAAGAAGAAAUGGGUUACAAUAAAUUUAUUUAAACGAAUUUUUUAAUUAAAUUUUUAAAUAAAGGUGGAUUUGAAAGUAAUAUAAUUAAAUUAAAUUAUAUGAUUUGAGCUCUAAAAUAUGUACAUAUCGCCCGUCGCUCUCAUAUAAAUUGAGAUAAGUCGUAACAAAGUAGAUGUACUGGAAAGUGUAUCUAGAAUGG